rnacentral:lncRNA from 1 species
CCUGACUACAGAACCCAGAGUGUUCCCUGGGAGAUGCCCAGAGAUAUGUUUCCAAAACAAGAAUAUGGAUCAGAGUUCAGAAUACUAUCUCAAUGGGCUGCAAGCCCAUGAGGAUUGUGGGACUUGCUAGUAGAUAGAAUGGUCUCCAUCUAGAUGCUGCUGAGUUUACUAUGAAGUUCCGUUUUGCCCCUCUGCCUGCAGAAGGAAGCUGUCCCCAUCACCUACUAUGGAACCAGUUACUGGAGUUUAAAUAUGCUUGAAAUGUAAAAGUGGCAUGACACUGGAGUGAUGCAAGAAUAUGCA